GUCUCUCCAUAGAGAGAAUACGAUAACUGAAGAGGACUUUAUAUGCUGAGAUGAAAUUUAGUUAAAUGAAUAUAUACAAUGUAAUGUUAUAUUACAUCAUGGGUCAUUUUCUUCCUAAACUAUAAUCAUUUUUACAGUUUUAAACCAAAAAGGUAGUGAAAAUAAGCGAGCCCAUAUUAAAUUUCUAGGAAGUAUCCCUAAAUUGUUUCCUCAGUCUUUUGACUUAUUUCACAUGGAAUCCUAACAUACGUGGUUGUCUGUUUUUC
rnacentral:lncRNA from 1 species